rnacentral:rRNA from 1 species
UACGAAGGGGGCGAGCGUUGUUCGGAUUUACUGGGCGUAAAGGGCGCGCAGGCGGCUUUGUUUGUCAGGCGUGAAAGCCCCGGGCUUAACCUGGGAACUGCGUUUGAUACGGCAGGGCUAGAGUUCGGGAGAGGAGAGUGGAAUUCCGCGUGGUAGCAGUGAAAUGCGUAGAUAUGCGGAGGAACACCGAUGGCGAAGGCAAUCCCCUGGGCCUGCACUGACGCUCAUGCACGAAGCGUGGGAGAACAGGAU